CGCCCCGGGCGGGGCGGGGGCACGGGGGGAACGCGAAGAACCUUACCUGGCCUUGACAUCCAGAGAACUUAGCAGAGAUGCUUUGGUGCCUUCGGGAACUCUGAGACAGGUGCUGCAUGGCUGUCGUCAGCUCGUGUUGUGAAAUGUUGGGUUAAGUCCCGCAACGAGCGCAACCCUUAUCCUUUGUUGCCAGCGAUUCGGUCGGGAACUCAAAGGAGACUGCCGGUGAUAAACCGGAGGAAGGUGGGGAUGACGUCAAGUCAUCAUGGCCCUUACGGCCAGGGCUACACACGUGCUACAAUGGCGCAUACAAAGAGAAGCGACCUCGCGAGAGCAAGCGGACCUCAUAAAGUGCGUCGUAGUCCGGAUUGGAGUCUGCAACUCGACUCCAUGAAGUCGGAAUCGCUAGUAAUCGUAGAUCAGAAUGCUACGGUGAAUACGUUCCCGGGUCUUGUACACACCGAA
rnacentral:rRNA from 1 species